AUAAACAAUAGGGCAGAGGAAGCAAUCGGAUAGGCAUUUGCUUCAGGUGAGCAGAGGGAUGACUUUCUGUCCCACAUCUGUGAAGAUCAGCUGUUGGUUUACAUUGCCAGGGUGAAAUUCAACAGAACUAAUUUAGGGUGAAGAUCUUGAGGCCCACAAGGAAUUUCCUUGUGGGAAAAUUGUGAGGAAGAGCAAUCACUGCACCCAGCCACCUCUAUAUACAUGUACACAAAGCCACACAGUUUACACAGUCACAGGUAUUUAAGUACACACUAUUCACACACAAAUACAUAUAUAGACACACAUGUACAGUCCGUCCAAAAUAUAUGUACAUAAAAGCACACUAUUACACCUUCAUAUGUGCACACACACACACACCCAGACUCACUUCAUACACACAUAGAUACAACAGCCACAGCUCCCCAUCACCUACACACACACACACACACCUGGACACCCAGCUCUAAUAUAAUCAGAUAGAGAUAUGCAUGCAGACAAAUUUGCCUGUAUAGUCAAACACAUAGGCAAAUAGAGAACGAGACACCACAUGAACAAAGGCAAACCUACACACAAAGACACAGAGCACACUUACGCAUAUAUCUAUAGACCCACCAUGGCACAUAUGGGUAAGUGCACACAGGCAAACUCACACACACGAGCAUGCACAGGCAGAGAACACAAAUGUACACUCCCAGGUGUCAUAAAGAACAGCCCAGCUUCGGCUUGGGAACGUCACAUCAGACAAUAGGAACGGCUGCACCGCGCGUUUCCUCGGCUGCCAGCUUCCCAGCCACAGAGGAUGCCUCACCUGCUAUGUCAGCUCCCCUCUGCCCCACCUCACAAGAAGCUCAGAAGCUGAGGAGUCACAGAGAGACCUCCCUACUGUGUCAGAGGAAUAGGUCCUUCUGUCACGGGGCACAGGACCCUUGACCGCAAAAUGACGUGAGUUACCACUGACUAUUUUCUGGGUCUUGAUCUUGUGACUCCAAAUGGAUGGUAAGCUCCUUAAGGGAAAGUCUAUGAUAUUCAUCCAACCACCCAUCCAUCCUUUCAUCCACCCAACCAUCCAUCCAUCUGACCAUCAUCCAUCCAUCCAUCCAUCCAUCUAUCCAUCUUCUAUCCAUCUGUCUACUCACCCAUCCACCCAUCCAUUCAAUUAUUCAUCCAUCCCUCUUCCAUCCAUUCACCCAUCUUCCAUCCAUCUGUCCACCCAUCCAUUCCACCAUUUAUCCAUCCAACCACCAUCUAUUCAUCCAACCACUCGUCUAUUCAUCCCUCUGACCAUCCAACCAUCCAUCGAUUUGUUCAAUUAUUUUAUCAAGCAUCUACACUGCACCACACACCCUAAUGGGUGUUGGGGAGAAAAUGGAGAGUAAAAUCAGAUGGGACCUCUGACCUCAGUGCGGCUGACCAUCAGUCCGGUAGAGGAGACACGUAAACUGACAAUUAUAAAUAAACACAAUGUGUCAACUCUGACAAGUGCUGUGAGGGAGAAAUCAGCAGUACUGAGAAAGCCUUUAUGGUCCUGGUGUGAGAGGUGGGAUGAGCCCAACACAGCAACAACAGCAAGACCAUGGGGGAGUGUGGUGCAGAUGGGCAGGUGUACAGAGCAUGCAGGCCAUGUCUGCCAGCCCUCUCUUUGUGCAUUAGCAACAGUAAAACGGGGCUUGUGUUUGGGCAGAUUAUACCACUGGUCUUGCAUCCCAAAUGUCUCUUUGUUCACUCGUUUAUACAAACAUGCUCAAUAAUAUUUAUGCAUUUUUACUGUGACAUCAUUUUCUUAUAUAAUAAAAGUGCCUAUUUAUAUACCGUAUAUGUAUAUAUAUAAUACACAGAUGCACACACACAAGCACACAUGCACAGAGCUUCUUGACAGUCAGUCCCUCAUAAGGUAGUCCACUGAAGUGCAGUCAUCACCAUCCUCAGACCUCAUGAUUAUAUAACUAGAGCACCUUAUAUUUUUAUAUUUUAUUAUGUAUUUAAUAAUCACAUAACUCUUUAGUGAAUGCCAAUUAAUUAGGAGAAUGACAUGCCUUCUCUCUGCUCCUCAUAAUAUCCCCCUUAGAUAGGUUUUAUCUCCCCACUUACAAGAUGUGGAGACUGGGCCGGGCACGGUGACUCACGCCUGUAAUCCCAGCACUUUGGGAGGAUGAGGCGGGUGGAUCACAUGAGAUCAGGAGUUU
rnacentral:lncRNA from 1 species